rnacentral:rRNA from 1 species
AUUGAACGCUGGCGGCAUGCUUUACACAUGCAAGUCGAACGGCAGCGCGGGCUUCGGCCUGGCGGCGAGUGGCGAACGGGUGAGUAAUGCAUCGGAACGUGCCCAGUAGUGGGGGAUAGCCCGGCGAAAGCCGGAUUAAUACCGCAUACGACCUGAGGGUGAAAGCGGGGGGCCGAAAGGGCUCGCGCGAUUGGAGCGGCCGACGUUGGGUUAGCGAGUUGGUGGGGUAAAGGCUUUCCAAGGGGACGAUCCGUAGCUGGUCUGAGAGGACGACCAGCCACAAUGGGGCUGCGAGACGGCCUAGGACCGUACGGGGGGCAGGAGUGGGGAAUUUUGGACAAGGGGGGAAACCCUGAUCCAGGGAGGCCGCGUGCGGGAAGAAGGCCUUCGGGUUGUAAACCGCUUUUGUUUGGGAAGAAAUUCUCUGGGCUAAUACCCCGGGGGGAUGACGGUACCGGAAGAAUAAGCACCGGCUAAUUACGU